rnacentral:ncRNA from 1 species
GUCACUGCUGGCGUCGUAUGCUGCGUGCAUGCGGUGCACGUGAGCGUUCUACUGCUCCUCCUCCUCCUCCUCCUCCUCCUCCGUGUCGUAGUUGUUGUUGCUGCCAUUGUCGUCGUCGUCGGCGGAGGCGGCUGCAAGGAUUGCGCGAGGGUGGUUGGUGGGUGUGGGUGGGUGGGUGGGCGGUUGAGUGUGGCGAUGGCGGUGGGAGUGUGUGGAGCGCGAGCCUUGUGGUUGGUUAGGCCGGCGCUGGCCUGCGGGUGUGGCGCGAGUGCUGACUACUUCUUAGGGGGACAAGCAGGAGAAGCCGCACGAAAUAGAGCAAUAAUAGGUCUGUGAUGCCCUUAGAUGUCCGGGGCCGCGCGCGCUCUACAAUGACGGUGUCAGCGAGUCAGACCUUCUGGCCCGAGAGGGUUGGGCAAACUGGUCAAUCACCGUCGUGACAGGGAUCGGGGCUUGGAAUUGUUCCCCGUGAACGAGGAAUUCCUAGUAAGUGCAAGUCAUAAGCUUGCGCUGUUUACGUCCCUGCCCUUUGUACACACCGCCCGUCGCUACUACCGGUUGAAUGGUUCAGUAAGGUCCUUGGAUUGGCGUCAUCGCAGCUGCGGCGGCUGCCCGAGAGGCGCCGAGAAGACGACCAAACUUGAUCAUUUAGAGGAAGUAAAAGUCGUNNNNNNNNNNNNNNN